rnacentral:rRNA from 1 species
UGGGGAAUAUUGGACAAUGGGCGAAAGCCUGAUCCAGCCAUGCCGCGUGGAUGAUGAAGGCCUUAGGGUUGUAAAGUCCUUUCGGCGGGGAAGAUAAUGACGGUACCCGCAGAAGAAGCCCCGGCUAACUUCGUGCCAGCAGCCGCGGUAAUACGAAGGGGGCUAGCGUUGCUCGGAAUCACUGGGCGUAAAGCGCACGUAGGCGGCUUCUUAAGUCAGGGGUGAAAUCCUGGAGCUCAACUCCAGAACUGCCUCUGAUACUGAGGAGCUUGAGUCCGGGAGAGGUGAGUGGAACUCCGAGUGUAGAGGUGAAAUUCGUAGAUAUUCGGAAGAACACCAGUGGCGAAGGCGGCUCACUGGCCCGGUACUGACGCUGAGGUGCGAAAGCGUGGGGAGCAAACAGGAUUAGAUACCCUAGUAGUCCCUGAGCGGGCUGGCAAGGCGCAU